rnacentral:rRNA from 1 species
GACGAACCGUGCGAACGUUAUUCGGAAUCACUGGGCUUAAAGCGCGUGUAGGCGGGACGGCACGUCGGUCGCUGAAAUCCCCCGGCUCAACCGGGGAACGGGCGCCGAUACGACCGCCCUGGAGGGGCGUAGGGGGACCUGGAACUUCCGGUGGAGCGGUGAAAUGCGUUGAGAUCGGAAGGAACGCCCGUGGCGAAAGCGAGGUCCUGGACGCUUACUGACGCUGAGAAGCGAAAGCAUGGGGAGCGAACGGG